GGUCCUGCUGGAACUGAAAGUGUUAGUGUGCAUCAUAAUGUACUGUCCCCAAGGCGUCCGAUAACAUCAAGGGCAAUAUUGACUAAUGCAAGGGGUCAAAACUUGGAUGUGGCUGAUACUGCUCCGAUCACCAAUCUAUCCCCAAGGGGGCUGAUCUCAUCUAGGGUGCUACUUUGUACCGGAAGGGGUCAAAACUUGGAUGUGGCUGAUAAUGCUCCGACCACAGACGUACCCCCAAGGGGGCUGGGCACAUCGAGGGUGCUACUUUCGAUUGGUGAAUCCUCUUUUCUCAUCAUUUUAUUAAUUUCUUUGUUUAUGGAAUUUAUAAUUUGUGUUUUUUUAACAUCAAUUCUGAUUGCCAUUUCGACUAAUAAACAACUAUUCCACUUUAUUCUCUCUCUCUCUUAGAUUUGAAAGUUUAAUGAAUACUUGACAAGUAAAACUAAGGCCCGAACACUUCGAUUUGAAGUCCUAUAUAUAUUUACACACUCUCACAUUACCACAUUUAUGGUAACCACAAAUAGGCAAUAACCCAUGCUUCUAACUUGAUUAAAUGUGUCUAUUCUUCCAUUAAAUGAGGACAACCACUUAAACCUUAUUAGUUUUUUGACCAUUGAUCUCAUCCUCAAGCCACCAACCAAUGUGUUGUUUUGUCUUCAUAUGAUAACAAAAUAAGUACAUUAUGCAUAUACAUGUCUUGGAUAAUAAAUUCACCUUAAAAGAAUUGCUCUGCAUCUUUAACCUCUAGUGUAAAAUCGCAAGUGAAAAUAGCAUUGCGCUCCUCAAUCCAGAAAAUUAUUUGAUAAUAGGCCUCUAUCGAAAUUUUCCCCCUAUUUACACGUUUUUUUUUUUUUUUUUU